AACGAACGCUGGCGGCAGGCUUAACACAUGCAAGUCGAGCGCCCCGCAAGGGGAGCGGCAGACGGGUGAGUAACGCGUGGGAAUCUACCCAUCUCUACGGAAUAACGCAUGGAAACGUGUGCUUAUACCGUAUACGUCCUUCGGGACAAAGAUUUAUCGGAGAUGGAUGAGCCCGCGUUGGAUUAGCUAGUUGGUGGGGUAAAGGCCUACCAAGGCGACGAUCCAUAGCUGGUCUGAGAGGAUGAUCAGCCACACUGGGACUGAGACACGGCCCAGACUCCUACGGGAGGCAGCAGUGGGGAAUAUUGGACAAUGGGCGCAAGCCUGAUCCAGCCAUGCCGCGUGAGUGAUGAAGGCCCUAGGGUUGUAAAGCUCUUUCACCGGUGAAGAUAAUGACGGUAACCGGAGAAGAAGCCCCGGCUAACUUCGUGCCAGCCGCCGCCGUAAUAC
rnacentral:rRNA from 1 species